GAUGAACGCUGGCGGCGUGCCUAACACAUGCAAGUCGAGCGAAGCGGUCUGGAGGAAGUUUUCGGAUGGAAUCCGGAUUGACUGAGCGGCGGACGGGUGAGUAACGCGUGGGUAACCUGCCUCAUACAGGGGGAUAACAGUUAGAAAUGGCUGCUAAUACCGCAUAAGCGCACAGCUUCGCAUGGAGCAGUGUGAAAAACUCCGGUGGUAUGAGAUGGACCCGCGUCUGAUUAGCUGGUUGGUAAGGUAACGGCUUACCAAGGCGACGAUCAGUAGCCGACCUGAGAGGGUGACCGGCCACAUUGGGACUGAGACACGGCCCAAACUCCUACGGGAGGCAGCAGUGGGGAAUAUUGCACAAUGGGGGAAACCCUGAUGCAGCGACGCCGCGUGAGUGAAGAAGUAUUUCGGUAUGUAAAGCUCUAUCAGCAGGGAAGAAAAUGACGGUACCUGACUAAGAAGCCCCGGCUAACUACGUGCCAGCAGCCGCGGUAAUACGUAGGGGGCAAGCGUUAUCCGGAUUUACUGGGUGUAAAGGGAGCGUAGACGGCAUAGCAAGUCUGGAGUGAAAGCCCGGGGCUCAACCCCGGUACUGCUUUGGAAACUGUUAAGCUAGAGUGCUGGAGAGGUAAGUGGAAUUCCUAGUGUAGCGGUGAAAUGCGUAGAUAUUAGGAGGAACACCAGUGGCGAAGGCGGCUUACUGGACAGUAACUGACGUUGAGGCUCGAAAGCGUGGGGAGCAAACAGGAUUAGAUACCCUGGUAGUCCACGCCGUAA
rnacentral:rRNA from 1 species